GUGCUUGCUUUGGCAGCACAUAUACUAUAAUUGGAGUGAUACAGAGAUUAGCAUGGCCCCUGUGCGAGGAUGACACGCAAAUUUGUGCAGUGUUCCGUAUUUUU
ensembl:snRNA U6 U6 spliceosomal RNA